rnacentral:rRNA from 1 species
GAUGAACGCUGGCGGCGUGCCUAAUACAUGCAAGUCGAGCGAACAGAUGAGAAGCUUGCUCCUCUGACGUUAGCGGCGGACGGGUGAGUAACACGUGGAUAACCUACCUAUAAGACUGGGAUAACUUCGGGAAACCGGAGCUAAUACCGGAUGAUAUAUUGAACCGCAUGGUUCAAUAGUGAAAGACGGUUUUGCUGUCACUUAUAGAUGGAUCCGCGCUGCAUUAGCUAGUUGGUAAGGUAACGGCUUACCAAGGCAACGAUGCGUAGCCGACCUGAGAGGGUGAUCGGCCACACUGGAACUGAGACACGGUCCAGACUCCUACGGGAGGCAGCAGUAGGGAAUCUUCCGCAAUGGGCGAAAGCCUGACGGAGCAACGCCGCGUGAGUGAUGAAGGUCUUCGGAUCGUAAAACUCUGUUAUUAGGGAAGAACAAAUGUGUAAGUAACUAUGCACGUCUUGACGGUACCUAAUCAGAAAGCCACGGCUAACUACGUG